rnacentral:lncRNA from 1 species
CUCUCAUCAUUAGCAUGUACAUGACAUGUUCAGAGUACCAAACCAAGUGCUUUUUUAUAGGACAUAUGCUAUGUGACUUGAGACACAUUAAAAGUAAGACUGAAUAUGUCCUGAGAUCAAGAACCUUAGUUGACCAAGAGCCCAGUCGAAUACCGCUGGAAGGAGAGCAGUCCUGAACUGCAGUUUCUGUUCCCAGUCCUGUGACUGUUGAGAGGCCAAACAGGAUCCUGUACAACUUGAAUUGUAACAAUGGUUAAAAGUUACUAUACAGGGACAAUCUCUCAGUGACAACACCUCAGCUUUGUCCUCCUUUCGACUUAUCUGCACUGUCAAAGUUCUGACAGAUGUUCUCCAGCAAAACUUGCUGCAACAGUUGAAGGUGAUAUUACCCAGCUGUCUGAUGCUCGUCUCUGCUGCGAGCAGAGGUGGUUGAAGGGGAGAUUUAGAACCACUCUACAGCAGUGCUGUCACCUUCCAUUAUCACCGCAGUGCGAUCUCACUGGAACUGCACAAGGAAGACCAGGUGGCCAGUUCCCUUUUAUUUGGAGAAAACAGGGACCAGUUGUUGGACAAGAGCUGAAUACCUCUUCCUUCAACUACAAAUGGCCUAGUCAGAAAAUCAAGAUUGUCCCGUAUAAUAAUCUGCUAUAGAAGCGAGACUGUGCAGCUGCUCACCUGUCGAAUAUGAAUCAAGACACUGCCCACACGUUGAGCGCAGAGGUAUAAUGCAGGAGGGUCUCUGAAAAACAAUCAAGAAACUGUGAAAAGGUUCUAUAGAUACACCUUACACUUUGUGUAGGUGUACUUUACAAUUUAAGUGGAGUAUUUUUUUAAAUUUCAUCGUCGUAGUAAACUGUAAUUACUAUGUGUUUUUACAUGUAAUUACCAACAUGUUUAGAAAAAAGGAGAUGUAUGUGAAAAACGAAUGUGUGAGAAAUAUCAGACAGAAAAACAUAGAGGAUUUCAGUUUCCAAAAACUGCUGUGACAUAGACGUCAAAAAUUAAAAACUUUCCCCUAACAUUUAGCUCUGUGUGUAUGUGUUGCUAUGGAACUGUAAAAUGAUAUUGUCACUGUUUUACCUAUUCCACAUGCCCUGUUUUACUUAUUUAUUUGCUGCUACUACUCAUCUAGAUUUUAGC